GCAGGGUAUGAUAUACUGGAGUAUAGUUUGGAGUAAAUGGUUUGAGCUGAGAGACAUGGAAAACUGGAUAUACCUUUGCAUAUGUUGGAAGUUCUAGCUUAUAUGCUGCUUUGCCAAUACGUUCUAGUACUGUGUAAGGUCCAUAAUACUUCAGUCCCAGCUUUGGAGAUGGUCGAUUGACCACCGAGUGCUGAGCAUAUGGCUGCAGUUUCAAGACCACCUAUUCACCUAUCUGAAAUUCUCUAUCUAGCCUGUGCUUAUCAACUUGUGUCUUGAUCUAGUUUUGUGCUGCUAGCAAAUGUGUGCGCAGCAUUUCAUUGUAGGCUUCACGUUCUUGUGCCCAUUCAGUCACCGUUGAGUUUGUUGUCU
rnacentral:lncRNA from 1 species